UAUUAUUAAGUAAAAGGUUUACAUAAAUUUUUGAAAUUUAAUCAAUAAGUUCAAUUCUUAUAAUAAUAU
rnacentral:tRNA from 1 species